CGACGAUGAACCACCUUCGGGUGGGGAUUAGUGGCGAACGGGUGAGUAACACGUGGGCAAUCUGCCCUGCACUCUGGGACAAGCCCUGGAAACGGGGUCUAAUACCGGAUACGACACUCUCGGGCAUCCGAUGAGUGUGGAAAGCUCCGGCGGUGCAGGAUGAGCCCGCGGCCUAUCAGCUUGUUGGUGAGGUAACGGCUCACCAAGGCGACGACGGGUAGCCGGCCUGAGAGGGCGACCGGCCACACUGGGACUGAGACACGGCCCAGACUCCUACGGGAGGCAGCAGUGGGGAAUAUUGCACAAUGGGCGCAAGCCUGAUGCAGCGACGCCGCGUGAGGGAUGACGGCCUUCGGGUUGUAAACCUCUUUCAGCAGGGAAGAAGCGAGAGUGACGGUACCUGCAGAAGAAGCGCCGGCUAACUACGUGCCAGCAGCCGCGGUAAUACGUAGGGCGCGAGCGUUGUCCGGAAUUAUUGGGCGUAAAGAGCUCGUAGGCGGCUUGUCGCGUCGGUUGUGAAAGCCCGGGGCUUAACCCCGGGUCUGCAGUCGAUACGGGCAGGCUAGAGUUCGGUAGGGGAGAUCGGAAUUCCUGGUGUAGCGGUGAAAUGCGCAGAUAUCAGGAGGAACACCGGUGGCGAAGGCGGAUCUCUGGGCCGAUACUGACGCUGAG
rnacentral:rRNA from 1 species